rnacentral:rRNA from 1 species
GUGAACGCUGGCGGUAGGCCUAACACAUGCAAGUCGAACGGCAGCACAGUAAGAGCUUGCUCUUACGGGUGGCGAGUGGCGGACGGGUGAGGAAUACAUCGGAAUCUACUUUUUCGUGGGGGAUAACGUAGGGAAACUUACGCUAAUACCGCAUGCGACCUACGGGUGAAAGCAGGGGAUCUUCGGACCUUGCGCGAUUGAAUGAGCCGAUGUCGGAUUAGCUAGUUGGCGGGGUAAAGGCCCACCAAGGCGACGACCCGUAGCUGGUCUGAGAGGAUGAUCAGCCACACUGGAACUGAGACACGGUCCAGACUCCUACGGGAGGCAGCAGUGGGGAAUAUUGGACAAUGGGCGCAAGCCUGAUCCAGCCAUACCGCGUGGGUGAAGAAGGCCUUCGGGUUGUAAAGCCCUUUUGUUGGGAAAGAAAAGCAGCAGGUUAAUACCCCGCUGUUCUGACGGUACCCAAAGAAUAAGCACCGGCUAACUUCGUG